rnacentral:rRNA from 1 species
UGCGAAGGGGGCUAGCGUUGCUCGGAAUCACUGGGCGUAAAGCGCACGUAGGCGGCUUACUAAGUCAGGGGUGAAAUCCUGGAGCUCAACUCCAGAACUGCCUUUGAUACUGGUGAGCUUGAGUCCGGAAGAGGUGAGUGGAACUGCGAGUGUAGAGGUGAAAUUCGUAGAUAUUCGCAAGAACACCAGUGGCGAAGGCGGCUCACUGGCCGGUACUGACGCUGAGGUGACG